UAGGGAAUCUUCCGCAAUGGACGAAAGUCUGACGGAGCAACGCCGCGUGAGCGAUGAAGGCCUUCGGGUCGUAAAGCUCUGUUGUUAGGGAAGAACAAGUGCUAGUUGAAUAAGCUGGCACCUUGACGGUACCUAACCAGAAAGCCACGGCUAACUACGUGCCAACAGCCGCGGUAAU
rnacentral:rRNA from 1 species